AGUCAUAGGACCAUUUGGCUGCGACAUCUGUCACCCCAUUGAUCACCAGGGUUGAUUUGGCUGAUCUGGCUGGCUAAGCGAGUGUCCCCUUCCUCCCUCACCGCUCCAUGUGCAUCUCUCCCGAAGCUAUGUGCUCGGUGGAAGAGGAAAACGUACCAGGUAUAGAAGGAGUGUACCGAGGUCUCCAGUCUUCGGUCCCGGGUAUACAAAUA
rnacentral:snRNA from 1 species